rnacentral:rRNA from 1 species
CCUACGGGGUGCAGCAGUGAGGAAUAUUGGUCAAUGGACGAGAGUCUGAACCAGCCAAGUAGCGUGAAGGAUGACUGCCCUAUGGGUUGUAAACUUCUUUUAUAUGGGAAUAAAAUGUUCCACGUGUGGGAUUUUGUAUGUACCAUAUGUAUAAGGAUCGGCUAACUCCGUGCCAGCAGCCGCGGUAAUACGGAGGAUCCGAGCGUUAUCCGGAUUUAUUGGGUUUAAAGGGAGCGUAGGUGGAUUGUUAAGUCAGUUGUGAAAGUUUGCGGCUCAACCGUAAAAUUGCAGUUGAAACUGGCAGUCUUGAGUACAGUAGAGGUGGGCGGAAUUCGUGGUGUAGCGGUGAAAUGCUUAGAUAUCACGAAGAACUCCGAUUGCGAAGGCAGUUCACUGGACUGCAACUGACACUGAGGCUCGAAAGUGUGGGUAUCAAACAGGAUUAGAUACCCGAGUAGUC